rnacentral:tRNA from 1 species
GCCUUGGCGGUGAAAUAAUGGUAGACAUGCGUGCGGGAUUCAGCAAAGUCUCGUGCUCGCAAGCAUGGGGUUCAAGUCCUCUUUGAGGCA